AAAAAAAACCCCGACCCGCAUAUUAGGGGAGACAGCGGACACAUCGCAUUAAAAAGGCAUCGGCACUCCCAGCUCACCUCACCAGGGGAUGGACGUUCGCCCUUAAAGGGUCUUUUUUGGGGGGUGGGGGGGUGGGUACCGGACUUCGGAAAUACGCCAAAAUUACGACGGGAAUCAGGUACAGCUCCCUGUCUCCCGGCAACGGGAGAGACCACCGGGCGCUCGUGAUGUCUCGUGCCAAGGAGCGGCUGAAAGGCGGGAAGGAGACCAAGGACAGCGUCACUCUGCUGCCGUGCUUUUAUUUUGUAGAGCUCCCGAAUGGAUUGCCAGGAAUUAUUGUAGGCUGUAUGGAAACAUUCCACAUUCCAUAACAGGUAUUUACAUAACUCCUCUGGUCAGAAAUGUGGGCUCCUCAAGGAUGGUGGAUCAUGUAGCUUAUAAUUUCGACAGUAGGAAAGCAAAACUCAGCGCUCUUACUCCAGAAACAGCAGUCUUUGUUAUUUUGACAUAUAAAAUACAAUUAACAUGACAUAUUACUUGUCUGUUAUGAUGCAUCUAUGAAGGGGAAGAGUUUGGUUGUAUUAAAGUAAUCCUGCUUUCAGUUUUGCCAGUUAAUGCUAAAAUUAACUAUUAUUUUCUGUACCAUUAACAUAGAAAUAUAUAUGUUAUUGAAUCUGGUCUAAUCUGUCUGAUAAUAGUGUACAAUAGUGUGGUGCUAACGUCAGCAUCUUCUAAUCACGUGUUUUUUUCAAAGCAACAGUCCAAAAUUAUUUAAUGAACACAAAAAUUCGAGCCUUUGGAACCACUAAAUACUUGUUUUCAUCUUUUUUACUAAUUUGUAGCUGAUCCGUUUACUCGACUGAACACUUAACUGUAUUUAAAGCAGCAAAUUAACAAUCAUUGUAUUAUUGCCUUAAUUUAUACUAUUUCAAGAUGAGAUGAAAUAGUAAUACAUUUUUGUAUGAUCAAAACUUUAGGAUACAACAGUGUGACAUGGCAGCAACAUGUUAGUGAGAUACUGUAAUUGUGUGUUUGGCGGUAAACAUGAGGAAAUAUAAUCUUUGAUCCAGAAAAGGAGUUCAAUGGCAAAUUAAGUUAUAUUGAUAAAAAAUAGGUCACUUUAUAACUGUAGAUUUUCCUGGUUUUAGUAUCAAAUCUGAAUCAUUUCAAGUCUCUCAUUGAAUCUUCCUAGGUUAUCAUAAUCCUGAGGGUGUUAUGGUCUGCCAGGACCAAGCAGCUUUUGGACAUUUUUUGAGAAGACUCUGAAAUCAUUGUUUCUUGUGGAACUUUGUUAAGACUCUGUAUUGUUUUGUUUAUUGCUGGACUUUGUGUCUGUCUGUUUAUGUAAAGUUACUUUCUUGUGAUCCCUUGUGUUUAGUUCAUCUUGAGUUUUGUAUUUCCUGUUUUAUUUUGUGAUUCAUUUCCCGUUCUUCUGUGUCUGGUUUUCUGUCAUGUUUCUUGUGUUUCCCUGUGAUAGUUUGCACCUGAUCCUAAUGUAUCUCACUUGUCUCAUUACCUGCUCCCUCUUGGUUGUAAAUAGUCUCUGUGCCUCCCUUUGUUCUUGUUGGUUCAUCUGUUUAUCUCUGUGUCCUGUUUAGCCAUGCUCUGUUUUGUGUCAGCUCUGUGUUUUGUCCCCAAGAGUUUUUGCUUUUUCUGAGUUUUGGAUUUUGUUUAUUUUCCCCUUAUAAGACUGGAUGUCUGUUUUUGUUGCCUUUCAUUAAACCCCCCACCUAACC
ensembl:lncRNA